GUAAAACCCAACAGUGCAUCUUACUAAAAGAAGUAAGUUGUUCUUACUCAGUUCUGAAAAAUAGUUAAAGUAACUUUCAUGAAGUGUGUUAGGUAGACCCAAACCUAUACAUAUGAUAUAAUAACUUUAUUGUAAUAAGUACACAUUAUGUUUUUGUAAAGUUUUAAGUAAUGUUGCUUUAAACUGUUUAAGUUGUGUUAAUUCAUUUGUAUUAGUCAUCAUCCACAGCCCCGCCCCCAGUGUUUUGCCUGGACUUGUCGGCCAUGAGACAGGAGCCUCGUCAAGAGAGUAGGAAAGUACAAGAUAAAGUUAUUUUUAUGUUUUUUUGUUAAUGCUUACUUCUAGCAUACAAAACGUACAUUUAUCAGACUGCUUUGUUUUAGUUGUACUUCGUUGUAAUUUAUCAGACUACUUUGUUGUAGUAGCUCGUAACUUAGCUUGCCAGCACACAAUUCCCGCCUAGCGCUGUAUGGAGUCUGCCUUCACAAUUUAAAAAAUUAACGGUUGGUGGCUUGUUUCAAUCAAUAGUUGUCUGACGAUUGAAGGAGCAGUAGCAUGCCGAGAGAUCAUCCAGCACUGCACUAAAGACAGCCAGUAAAGGCUUCCCACCUGACUUCCUUCC